CGCACAUUGCGCCUUCCGGUAUUCCGGGAGGCAUGCCUGUUCGAGCGUCGCAAAUGAUAUCAAGCCCCCGGGCUUGGACUUGGUCGCGCAAUCCCCUUGGGGAUCCUGCGUCUCCGAAAAUGAGCGGCGGCUCGGUCGAGCUUCUAGCGCAGUGAUAAUACGUACACGCUAUCGAAGACUCGCCCGGACCUGCCGGAACCCCCAUUGCGCGGGUCAGUCGCAUGCUCCACGAAAUCGACCUCGGAUCAGGUAGGGAUACCCGCUGAACUUAA
rnacentral:misc_RNA from 1 species